CCCUCACAAUCAAACGGAAGAGGAGUUAGGAAUUCCAAAGUUCGUCCUCUUGCCAUCCAUUUGCAUAUUCAGAGAAGACAGAAAGAACCAGAGAAGACAGAGAGAGCAGUGCCGUUUCUAAAUCACAACCUUCAUCGAGUCGAUCCUUUUCUUGAUGGAAGGAGGAAUUUAUUCACUCCGGCAUCAUAGUUGUCGCGCCAACUGUCACAGGGUUCGGAUAUUGCGGCAGAGAAUCACUGCAUCAGAUGCCCUAGCAGGCGAUUUGGUCAGAUUGUUCUUCAUGUUGGGAGAUAUAUUGUGACCAUGAUGAGCACUGGAGUGAUCUUGUUGAUUGGAUUCAGUCUGUCAGGUUGACUGAAGGUGGAGAUGGUCAAAUGAAUGAUUUGGUAUAGUUGGGUUGGUGGUAUUAUCAUUGGAAUCAUGAUUGGUUCAAACAUGGUUUUAGACGAAGUUAGCCGAGCCGAUCCUCGAAAUGUUGUAAUUCCCGGAAAUACUAGAGGGCUUGGUAAAGCUCUUGCUCGUGAAUUCCUACUUUCUGUAGAUCGGGUGGUUAUUGCUUCAGGAAGCGAAAAAUCUGUCGAAAACCACUUUCUUUAUCAUCAUACCAGCAACUAAACGCCAAAAAAACAUAAUGGCACCUGAGAUCAAGUUAACCCCUAGAUGGGCCGUCCACGAGCAUUUGUUUGUCAGACCCAUAACGAAGUAAUGGGCUUUAGUCUUCACUUUGCCAUGCUUCCUUGUAUAAACCCCAGCACUAGGCCUUGAUACCGAGAUCAACUUGAACUCCAUAGCCCAAAUAGACGAGACUGGGCCCGGGAUUUACAAACAUCAGCCAGGUUUGGGCUUCAUCAACAUCAGCCAAACGCAGGCUGUGGGUCAUCAACAGAUACUGCAACAAUUUUGACCCGGCAACCUGCUCAUUUGAAAGCCACGUCCCAUAUAAAGCGGAUACAUACCAAUCUUUAACGGCUGGUAGGCAGCCCCGAACAUUCCGAACGGGGGUCUUGAACAGCAGCAGCCUCAUUGUUUGAAAUAUAACUGCAGCAGAUGGCACCUUAACAAAAAAGAUGGGCAAAGCAUCUGACACACUAGACCCUCACCUAGCGGGUGACCAAGGUUGAAGACAGGUUACUGCUGGGAUCCAUGGUACCCAGGCUAACACCUAUUUCCGAGCUGAUGACAGAACAUUGGCAACUUCACGCUGUGAUUUAUCAUUUUUAGAUACUUAAAAUAUGACUUUAUUUUAUGUUUUUUAUGAUCAUUUACACGUUCUGGUUAUGUGCAGGAUCGACCUUCAACUAAGGUUCAUGUUCUUCCUUAGGUUGGUGAUCUAUCGAGGAGCUUCAAUAUAUGGAUUGCCUGAAUGAAAAAAGUUGAGUACUUGUUUAGCCUCCACAUAUAUUAUCCCUAAAAUAACUGUUACUGGUAAAAAAGGCCAUGUUUUUGUCUUACCUACGGUUAUAUCAUGGAUCUCCCUGUACCACGUUUCUUCCGUCUAACCAACCUCAUACAUUGGUUGUUGUUACUCCGGAUCCUCCUAUCCGUAACCUAUGAAACUGCUUAUGUGGUGGACAGCACUUUGAUGAUGAAUGACAUCAUACAAACAAAAUGAUUAUAGCAAUUCGGAUCAUCUUAGCAAUUUGAUAAGGAUCGCAGUUCUCUCUAUUUUAUAACUUGUAUCCGAUGCUGGUAAAGAUCAUCAUUUUACAUUUUGGGGUGUUCGUUUUUAGAACAUGAUAUGUAGUCUUCUAAUGAUUUACGUAUCCAUAAUGUAGUUAGUCUCCUAUCU
rnacentral:lncRNA from 1 species